ACUUCUGCCGGCGAGUGGCGAACGGGUGAGUAAUGCAUUGGAACGUACCGGGUAAUGGGGGAUAACUUGCCGAAAGGUAAGCUAAUACCGCAUACGCUUUAAGAAGGAAAGCGGGGGAUCAUCUGACCUCGCGUUAUCCGAGCGGCCAAUGUCUGAUUAGCUAGUUGGUGGGGUAAAAGCCUACCAAGGCAACGAUCAGUAGCGGGUCUGAGAGGAUGAUC
rnacentral:rRNA from 1 species